CGGCGAGCGAAGCGGGAAGAGCUCAAAUUUAUAAUCUGGCACCUUCGGUGUCCGAGUUGUAAUCUCUAGAAGUGUUUUCCGCGUUGGACCGCACACAAGUCUGUUGGAAUACAGCGGCAUAGUGGUGAAACCCCCGUAUAUGGUGCGGACGCCCAGCGCUUUGUGAUACACUUUCAAUGAGUCGAGUUGUUUGGGAAUGCAGCUCAAAUUGGGUGGUAAAUUCCAUCUAAAGCUAAAUAUUGGCGAGAGACCGAUAGCGAACAAGUACCGUGAGGGAAAGAUGAAAAGCACUUUGGAAAGAGAGUUAACAGUACGUGAAAUUGUUGGAAGGGAAACGCUUGAAGUCAGACUUGCUUGCCGGACUUGUUCGGUUUGCAGGCCAGCAUCAGUUUUCUGGGGUGGAUAAUGGCGGUUUGAAGGUAGCAGCUUCGGCUGUGUUAUAGCUUUCCGCUGGAUACAUCCUGGGGGACUGAGGAACGCAGCGUGCUUUUUGCGAAGGUUUCGACCUUUUCACGCUUAGGAUGCUGGUGAAAUGACUUUAAACGACCCGUCUUGAAACACGGAC
rnacentral:rRNA from 1 species